rnacentral:rRNA from 1 species
UCAGGACGAACGCUGGCGGCGUGCCUAACACAUGCAAGUCGAACGGGGAUUUGUUUCGGCAGAAUCCUAGUGGCGAACGGGUGAGUAACGCGUAGGCAACCUGCCCUCCGGCCGGGGACAACACUCCGAAAGGGGUGCUAAUACCGGAUACGAAGUCUGUGCCGCAUGGUACGGAUUUGAAAGAUGGCCUCUAUUUAUAAGCUAUCGCCGGGGGAUGGGCCUGCGUCCGAUUAGCUGGUUGGUGGGGUAACGGCCUACCAAGGCGACGAUCGGUAGCCGGUCUGAGAGGAUGAACGGCCACAUUGGGACUGAGACACGGCCCAGACUCCUACGGGAGGCAGCAGUGGGGAAUCUUCCGCAAUGGGCGCAAGCCUGACGGAGCAACGCCGCGUGAGUGAGGAAGUUCUUCGGAACGUAAAGCUCUGUUGUUCCUGACGAACCUCCCCUCUAUCAACAACGGAGGGGACUGACGGUAGGGAACGAGGAAGCCACGGCUAACUACGUGCCAGCCGCUGC